ACGUGACAAGUGAACAGACACUUGCAGGAAGAUGCCUAGCCAAACUACUACUAUUCUACUAAAAUGUUCCAUGGUGGACGUGCCCGCCCUUAAUCACGUGAAGCUGAAGUCCUUGUACGGACGUGCGUUUGAUAAGGACCAACCUCUAGAACGAACAUAACGGUACGCGGGCAUGCGGUGUAUAUCGUGUGUUUGUUGGUGACCCAAGACGAUGAUAUAUGGCCUUCGGAAAGAAGAUGCGAUUCAAAAGACUUUUACCUAGUGUGUGUAUGUAUGUAUAUACACUAAAAUGUAGCAUAUCAUCGGUUUUCUAAAGGAGUGAAAUGAAACUUUUGAGAUAUUUUCAAAACUUAAAUUUAGCAGUGGAUGGUUCACUAAGAUGUAAAUGUCAUAAUUACCCAACAAAAAUACGUUAUUUGACAAGAUCAAUAUGAAAUGACAAUUGAAAGUAGGACAUUAACCUACAAUCCACAUUGUAAAAGAAAUGAAGUACUUCCAAUGUUGUAUAGUCGAAUAAUUAAUAACCUUUUACUGAAAAUUUUGUAAUUCAAAUUUCCUGAAAAAUUAUUUUUUUAUCUUAAUAAACCGCAUCCAUAUAUGUAUA